GUGUGGAAGCGUGGUGACACGUUAAGCUAACCAGUACUAAUUGCCCGUGAGGCUUGACCCUAUAACUUUG
rnacentral:rRNA from 1 species